rnacentral:rRNA from 1 species
UGGGGAAUUUUGCACAAUGGGCGCAAGCCUGAUGCAGCGACGCCGCGUGAGGGAUGAAGGCCUUCGGGUUGUAAACCUUUUUCGCUCAUGGUCAAGCCGCAGCUUUGGGUUGUGGUGAGGGUAGUGGGUAAAGAAGCGCCGGCUAACUACGUGCCAGCAGCCGCGGUAAUACGUAGGGCGCGGGCGUUGUCCGGAAUUAUUGGGCGUAAAGGGCUUGUAGGCGGUUGGCCGCGUCUGCCGUGAAAUCCUCUGGCUUAACUGGGGGCGUGCGGUGGGUACGGGUUGACUUGAGUGCGGUAGGGGAGAGUGGAAUUCCUGGUGUGGCGGUGGAAUGCGCAGAUAUCAGGGGGAACACCGGUGGCGAAGGCGGGUCUCUGGGCCGUUACUGACGCUGAGGAGCGAAAGCGUGGGGAGCGAACAGG